UAUAGUUUUGAACCAAAUGAAAAGGGUCUAAAUUAAAUAUGAAAGUUGAAAGCAGGAAACGGACUCCAACACAACAAAGAAGCAACUAUGAUAAUAGAAACUAAUUGCAUAUUGAUUGUAAAGUAUCUGUCCUGCGGUUUUAAUUUUUUUUGUUGGAAGAUCCAAAUUCAAGAUUUGAGUUCCUGCCGUAUAGUUCAAAACUUAUUCUACAGUGCAAAAUAGCUUUACUGCAAAGUCUACGCAACUAAUUGAUUGGACUAUGAAAACCCCCUCUCGUUUGUGAAGACUGAAAAAGAAAUAUGCAGAUAGUGAAAGAGAGAGAGAGAAAGAGUGCACACGAGUCAUCGCAAGUGUUUGGUAGCCGUCAGUCACACUAGUGUUGCUCAAGUAAUUGCACGUCCAUUUUUCGUGAUUUUCGAAUAAGUUCUGAUUACUAUUUUUGUAACGUAGAAUGUAAUGUGUUGAAGAAGAUUUAGAUAAGAACGCAAUCGUAGUGGUUUUUACGUUAAAAUGUGACGUUUCGCUGUGUUUUAGCACCGGUAAAUGUAAAUUAUGCAGUGGUGCACAGGCAUUUUACGUUCAAACUAUAAAGAGCAUGAUGAUGCCUGUUUAUAUUCGUGAAGUAAAGGUCAAAAUCGGUCUUACCUGAUCAACAUGCAAACAUGGCCACGAGACUGAAUUCUCCCGACUACUACGCAAAAGCAGAGGUAUUAUUAAUUCGAGAAGAUGUGGGAGCCACCAUGACGCGUGACUCCAUUGAGAGACUUCUCCGUCAUCAGCCUGUAGCAUCUGGCGAUAAGCACAAGUGUCUUCAGAUCAUCUGCCAGCAGUUAGCAGAGGCUGUGCAGUCCUUUUGAAGUCUAUGAAACUGAACAUCUUGAGGUGUAUUUGGAGUUAUUUGAUCACUAACUCUGAACACAUGAUGCCCUUCCUACAAAGAUGAAAUA
rnacentral:lncRNA from 1 species